UCGGGAGGCUACUCGUAAUUCAGGGU
rnacentral:piRNA from 1 species